AUGGGACUUAGUGUGGACACCCCUUUCUUCACAUUAGAAUUGGAGCAUAGUGGACUAUUUUGUGGACCAAUAAAUAACAUGGAGUACUAUAAUCCUUCAGUGGAGGUGCUUGACUAUGUUGAGGCUGGCACAUUUUCAUAUGCAGUCAUUGAAGAGCACCUGCUAUGGUUGGGAUAUCGUGUCAAUGAGCACAUCAUUUAUUGGUGCAUGCCUGACAAAAUAGUUUCAGAUGGUAUGCUCAGAAUUAGAGGUGAUGAGGAUGUGAAGCAAAUGAUAACAGCUAGUGCUCAGCAUAAGGUUCUUGCAAUCAUGGUUGAUCAUUCAGAUUUCAUCAGUAAUUUCAGGCAAGAUUUGAUAUGUACAGUGGGCGUAAUAGAGAAUCCUGUCAGAGUGGUAAACCCAAAUGCUAUUGCAGCCAAUGCAGCUAGUUCUCACAGCAUCAUUUCAGUCAAUGCUGAAGAUCCAAUUUCAGAGUUUGCAGCACAUGAGACAGAAGCAGACAACUUGCUAGCUAAUGUUGCAGAAGAAGAGCAUUUGCUGACUAAUGUUGCACAAGGAGAGCACUUGCUGAUAGAUGUUGCACAAGGAGAGCACUUGUUGUUUGAUGUUGCAGCAGAAGAGCAUUUGCUAAUUGAUUUUGUUGAAGAAGAUCACUUGCUGACUGAUUUUGCCAAAGAAAAUCACAUGCUGACUGAUGUUGCAUAA
rnacentral:rRNA from 1 species